GACGAACCGUGCGAACGUUGUUCGGAAUCACUGGGCUUAAAGGGCGCGUAGGCGGGCCUCCCAGUCCGUGGUGAAAGCCCCCGGCCCAACCGGGGAAGUGCUGCGGAUACUGGAGGCCUCGAGGGGUGUAGGGGCAUGCGGAACUUCCGGUGGAGCGGUGAAAUGCGUAGAUAUCGGAAGGAACGCCGGUGGCGAAAGCGGCGUGCUGGACACCUACUGACGCUGAGGCGCGAAAGCCAGGGGAGCAAACGGG
rnacentral:rRNA from 1 species